rnacentral:lncRNA from 1 species
UAUGCGAACCGGACAGGAGGUGGCAGGAGGUGCACGAGAGAGGGAGACGGGGAAAAGAGGCAAGGGUGUAGGGGGGUAUUUAUAGGGGGAGCUAGAGAUCAAUCUAGUUAUCAAUCUCCUAUUAAAAAGAAAUAGAUAAGAUUUUAAUAGAUAAAAAAAAGAGGUUGGAAUUAGUUUGUACCGUGAGGGAGAGGUGGGGCUGCACGGCUGUUGAGGGGGAGGAGGAUGCACGGGAAAGGUGGCAGAGGAGAGUACGACAGGGGAGGUGGGGUGGAGAUCGUGCACAAGGGGAGAGAGGGAGGUUAGAUCGGCUAGGAGGAGAAAA